AUGACCUCAAAUCAGGUAGGGAUACCCGCUGAACUUAAGCAUAUCAAUAAGCGGAGGAAAAGAAACCAACAGGGAUUGCCUUAGUAACGGCGAGUGAAGCGGCAAAAGCUCAGAUUUGAAAUCUGGUGUCAAAUUGAUACCCGAGUUGUAAUCUGUAGAGGAGUUUUUCGGAGUAUAGCUUUGGUUGAAGUUCCUUGGAAAAGGGCAUCAUAGAGGGUGAGAAUCCUGUUUAUGACCAUUGUCUUUCUCCAUUAUAAAUCUCCUUCAAUGAGUCGAGUUGUUUGGGAAUGCAGCUCUAAAUGGGUGGUAAAUUCCAUCUAAAGCUAAAUAUUGGCAAGAGACCGAUAGCGCACAAGUAGAGUGAUCGAAAGAUGAAAAGAACUCUGAACAGAGAGUUAAAGAGUACGUGAAAUUGUUGAAAGGGAAGCACUUGUGACCAGACAAAUUUACAGUUAAUCAGCCAUCAAUUUUUGGUGGUGCACUUAAUUGCAGGUGGGUCAGCAUCAGUUAUAGUAGUGGAACAAAGACCAGAGGAAUGUAGCUCCUCUUUGAGGAGUGUUAUAGCCUUUGGUUUAAUACCGCUUGCUAUGACUGAGGAUAGCACUUCUAGUAAGGAUGCUGACAUAAUGGUCAUAAGUGACCCGUCUUGAAACACGGACCANGGAGUCUAACAUCUAUGCRAGUGUUUGGGU
rnacentral:rRNA from 1 species